GAUGAACGCUGGCGGCGUGGCUAAUACAUGCAAGUCGAGCGAACGGACGAGAAGCUUGCUUCUCUGAUGUUAGCGGCGGACGGGUGAGUAACACGUGGAUAACCUACCUAUAAGACUGGGAUAACUUCGGGAAACCGUAGCUAAUACCGGAUAAUAUUUUGAACCGCAUGGUUCAAAAGUGAAAGACGGUCUUGCUGUCACUUAUAGAUGGAUCCGCGCUGCAUUAGCUAGUUGGUAAGGUAACGGCUUACCAAGGCAACGAUGCAUAGCCGACCUGAGAGGGUGAUCGGCCACACUGGAACUGAGACACGGUCCAGACUCCUACGGGAGGCAGCAGUAGGGAAUCUUCCGCAAUGGGCGAAAGCCUGACGGAGCAACGCCGCGUGAGUGAUGAAGGUCUUCGGAUCGUAAAACUCUGUUAUUAGGGAAGAACAUAUGUGUAAGUAACUGUGCACAUCUUGACGGUACCUAAUCAGAAAGCCACGGCUAACUACGUG
rnacentral:rRNA from 1 species